UGGGGAAUUUUGGACAAUGGGCGAAAGCCUGAUCCAGCAAUGCCGCGUGUGUGAAGAAGGCCUUCGGGUUGUAAAGCACUUUUGUCCGGAAAGAAAUCCUUGGCUCUAAUACAGUCGGGGGAUGACGGUACCGGAAGAAUAAGCACCGGCUAACUACGUGCCAGCAGCCGCGGUAAUACGUAGGGUGCAAGCGUUAAUCGGAAUUACUGGGCGUAAAGCGUGCGCAGGCGGUUUGCUAAGACCGAUGUGAAAUCCCCGGGCUCAACCUGGGAACUGCAUUGGUGACUGGCAGGCUAGAGUAUGGCAGAGGGGGGUUAGAAUUCCACGUGUAGCAGUGAAAUGCGUAGAGAUGUGGAGGAAUACCGAUGGCGAAGGCAGCCCCCUGGGCCAAUACUGACGCUCAUGCACGAAAGCGUGGGGAGCAAACAGGAUUAGAUACCCUGGUAGUCCACGCCCUAAAACGAUGUCAACUAGUUGUUGGGGACUUCAUUUUCCUUAGUAACGUAGCUAACGCGUGAAGUUGACCGCCUGGGGAGUACGGUCGCAAGAUUAAAACUC
rnacentral:rRNA from 1 species